rnacentral:misc_RNA from 1 species
ACAGGUGAGUCAUCGAAUCUUUGAACGCACAUUGCGCCCCUUGGUAUUCCGGGGGGCAUGCCUGUCCGAGCGUCAUUGCUGCCCUCAAGCACGGCUUGUGUGUUGGGCCCCGUCCUCCUUCCCGGGGGACGGGCCCGAAAGGCAGCGGCGGCACCGCGUCCGGUCCUCGAGCGUAUGGGGCUUCGUCUUCCGCUCUUGUAGGCCCGGCCGGCGCUUGCCGACAACAAUCAAUCUUUUUUCAGGUUGACCUCGGAUCAGGUAGGGAUACCCGCUGAACUUAAGCAUAUCAAUAAGCGGAGG